rnacentral:lncRNA from 1 species
AAGGGAAAUGGAUUAUAAUCUUUCCGUUCUCUCUGAUAGAAGUAAUUAUCUAUAUCCUGCCUUAGCUUAUAAAAUAAAAUGUUUGUAGUAAAAUUUGUGUGUCAAGCACACUAAUAAUGGUGCCUAAAAUGCAUGACAAUUCUAGACUUCAUUGAUUAAUUUAUAGUGUCUAAUUUUGGACAUGCCUAAGAAGCACGAGAUUUCUGUGUGGUAUACCUCUGGAACUGUGUUGCAUGUGUGUUCUUGCUGGAAGAUCAGGGUUGCACCAUCAAGAGGUAAGGUGUAAUAUUUGAAGUCCAGUGGAAGCUUUUAGCCAAAUUUCCUGUUAUUGCCCCUCUCUGAAGCAGAAUUGCACCUCUUUUUUCUUUGUAACUCCAUUGGAUAAUCUUGGAGAGGGACGAUGAUGUUUAAGUUAUAACAGAUUUCUAGGUUUCUUGAAGGUUAAUAGUGAUAUCUGGAAACUUCCCGAGAUUUGUACUGCAAUCUAGAGCAAAAAGUGCCUCAUAUUUCAGCAUAUUUAAUUCCUUGCGUAAAGGUUUUUGAGGGAGUAUGACGGUACAGUUCCUUUACACAGCAUCUGUGAUGGGAGCAGCUUCUCUCCGCUGGAAAUGAUGCCUUAGGCCCCUUUCUCAUAAUGAUGUGAUUCUUUUAUGCAGGAGAAAAGACAAGAAGCUACCUUUCAAGAACAAGAGCUUCAGGAUCUGGUCUCAAGUCACCAUUUAACAAGCCUCGAAGGAUCAAGACCAAAAGUCUCCAACUUGCUAUAGCAUGUGAGAAAAAGCUGUCUGUGUUGCAAUACUCAACGCCUCUACAGUUCAGAAACAUACGCAAAGCCACGAUGAACCUCCUGAGCACUGGGACAAUGCAAUGGCAUCAGAUAAGACAAGAGUCUCCAGAAAUGGAAGAGGAGAAAUGGUCUAGCAGCUUGUAUGUGAAAAGUUACAACCUGAGAGGGGAAUUACUUGCAGUUCUUCUUUUCUGUACACACCAAGGGAUGCACCAACAUGCUUCAUAGUAAAAUCCCAACCACAUGCUCCAUACUUUAUUUCUCUGGAUUCAACCAUUUUUCUCAGAUACUGCUGCCACCAGCAUUGCAGCUUCUUAUCUGCAGAAGUUGAAAGAAGGAUUUUGUCACACUAAAGGUUGUCUUCUUAACUAAGCAGUUUCAAGGAUGGCUCGCAGACAGUCAGGUUCAUACCCAUGGAUGUGUUUAGUUGUUUAGCUCAUACAGGGAAACAAACAGGAAGGAAUUUUGAGCUUAAAUAUGGGCUUGAAUCCGGCCUUCUAUCUGGUAUAUCUGAAUGACUUGUCUUUCUACUCAUUGUCAGCUGCGGAUGACAUUGGGAUAAAAGGUGAUCAAAUUUUGUCAGGUGUUAUGUCCUUUAGCUUUGAGGAUUGAAUUAGUCCUAGAAGCACCAUGCAGCUGUUGUCACCUGUUCACUCUGAAGAAGGCGGUUCAUGUGGUCAAAAGAGAAGAAGCAAAAUGCAAAGAGUUUCACAAACCUACUUGUGACAACAUAUCUAGCUUCCACUCCUGGGAAUUGCCCCUACAUGCUCUGAGGAGAAAAACCUGUUCAAAACAAGACUGUAGCCUAGCUCUCCAACUCAGAGAGGGGAGAGGGGUUUGGACCUGCAGUCAUCAGAUAAUGGAACUAUGGGACUGACAUUAAAACUGUGUAAGAAGAAAUAAGAAGGGGUGAAUUUUCCAACAGAUUUUUUUCUUCUCCUCUGUGGAAAGGACUCAAUACAGAGAAACCUGUGUUUGGAUGUAGGUUUUUAAAUUAUUAGCAUCAUUUUUAUAUCUUAAUCCUUCCCCAAAAGAUAAUAUUGAAUGAGCUGUGUACUCUAAGAUGGGAAUUAUUUGGUGAGUGUUUAAGCUAUUUUUCUAAGAAAGCAGAUGUUUGUGGUUAAUUUCUCUGUUCUUGAGAGAAAGAUUAUUGGUCUUACCCAUUCUGCUGGACUCCUUUAAGAACUGUUCCUAGUGCUGGACUCAUUCCUACCUUGGUUCUAGAGCU